UCUCUCGGCUGGCAAAGCAACUGGCUGUUAUGACGUUUACACCUCUGUAUUCCAGUGCUUCUUAGUGUAUGUCUGCCAUAGGAGUAUGAAUUAUUUGAGAGGAGAAAAAGCCUCACAUAGUCCGUUACUCUAAUACUCGAUAGCAUCUCAAUAAAUGCUGGCUGAAUGUAUAAUGAUGAGAAACUAUUCACCAAAGUGGCUGUGUUCCUGUGCCAGUCACAGCUACUGUGUGACAACCCUCUUCGUUUGCAUUCUGGGAGCAGCUCCCUCUACCUGUCCAUCAGGCUCACCAUGCGAUACAGCACCCCUUUGUUGAGAGCCCCAGGAUGCAGUGUCAUGCAUAGAGUUUCUUGUCCACACCUUUGCCAAGAGCCCCUUCAUUAAAAUAUCUUAAAAUAUCUUA